AAAUUGAAGAGUUUGAUCAUGGCUCAGAUUGAACGCUGGCGGCAGGCCUAACACAUGCAAGUCGAACGGUAACAGGAAGCAGCUUGCUGCUUCGCUGACGAGUGGCGGACGGGUGAGUAAUGUCUGGGAAACUGCCUGAUGGAGGGGGAUAACUACUGGAAACGGUAGCUAAUACCGCAUAAUGUCGCAGGACCAAAGAGGGGGACCUUCGGGCCUCUUGCCAUCAGAUGUGCCCAGAUGGGAUUAGCUUGUUGGUGAGGUAAC
rnacentral:rRNA from 1 species